rnacentral:tRNA from 1 species
GGAUAUGACUCAGUGGUAGAGUACUUGCCUGGCAUGUGUGAGAGUCUUGGGUUCAAUUCCCAGUACCA